rnacentral:lncRNA from 1 species
GAAAUAAGUGAAACAAAAUGUGUGUAUUUCUGUAAUUUGUCCUAUAAUUAAAUACACAAGUGGAAUGAUUUUUUUCUUGAUAUAUUCUACCAGUUUCAAAAGUCUUUAUUUAUGGACAAGAUAUUUGUCAAUUAAUUAUGUGCGUCCUUUUUUAUUUUCUUUUUCUGUUUUCUUUUUUAAUUCAUUUUAUACUUGUUAUGUAUUGUUAGAAUUCUAAUGUUAUGUAUUGAAAACUAUUAAGUCCUAUUAAAUAAGUAAUAUUCACUCUUAAAUACAUGGUGACAUAGCCGAGUGGUAAGUCAAAGGACUGCAAAUCCUUUUUUCCCAAGUUCAAAUUCGGGUGGUGAAAUUAUACCGGAUAUAUUAUUGUUGUAGGUAGUUUCAAUUAGGUUAACAGUGUAUAAAAUUAUGACUACUCAUAUAUUAUAUGUGUACAUACAUUUAUGUUUUUCUUUUUUGUUGAAUUCAUUAAUUUAUCAUGGGGACCAUGAUGCUAGGCAAAGGCAAGAGGAGAGGGGAGAAUCAUGCAGAAGGGCCAUUAAUUUCAUGGAAAUUAAUGAGUGAAUAUUUGUGUGUGUAUGUGUAUUGGCACUAUGUUGACUUGGUUAGAUAAAGAAGGCUCUUCAUCUUUUUCAAUGGUGCCAAGAGAAUAUAUCAUCAUUUGAAUUUACUUUGGAAGGCACCUCUUCUUUUUUGACAAAUAAUGCAUCACAUAUACUUUAAUGCAAUGACAUUAUCA